AUACGGGAGGCAGCAGUGAGGAAUUUUGCGCAAUGGGGGAAACCCUGACGCAGCAACGCCGCGUGAGUGAUGAAGGCUUUCGGGUCGUAAAGCUCUGUCAAGUGGGAAGAACCUGCUUUGUGAUAAUACCACGAAGCACUGACGGUACCACUGAAGGAAGCACCGGCUAACUCCGUGCCAGCAGCCGCGGUAAUACGGGGGGUGCUAGCGUUAUUCGGAAUCAUUGGGCGUAAAGGGCGCGUAGGCGGUCUCUUAAGUCAGAUGUGAAAGCCCUCGGCUUAACCGAGGAAGUGCAUUUGAUACUAGGAGACUUGAGUAUGGGAGAGGGAAGCGGAAUUCCUGGUGUAGCGGUGAAAUGCGUAGAUAUCAGGAGGAACACCGGUGGCGAAGGCGGCUUCCUGGACCAAUACUGACGCUGAGGCGCGAAGGCGUGGGGAGCAAACAGGAUUAGAUACCCCGGU
rnacentral:rRNA from 1 species